GGCUACCUUUACCUCUGAGGUGAGAGAAUAAUCGACGGUCUGUUCAUAUGUCGGCGCUGGCGACGUGAAGUGAUUCAGGGUUAGUGUCUGCGAUUAUUCAGUUUUGUUGAGGAGUCUUGAGUUCGAUGAGAUAGUGAUGACAGCGACACUGAAGACUACUGACGGACAGGGUAUAGUGGAUAUGGAACAUAUUCUACUUCAAGCCCCACACCGUCCGUCAGAAGAAGCCCAAGAUGUUGGGACUACCAGUGAUUUGUACACCAGAAUGUAGUAGCAGAGCAGUCUGUCGCAAGAGGUAUCUGACGGCGUCACCUCGUUACGACGUCAGCAAGAACUAUUCUAUAAAGUUAUCUGAAUAUUCAACAAGGAAUCGACCAAGAUCUACUUUACGUGUUUCUUAAACUUUAAGACUGAUUAAAGUAAGAAUUUUGUAAAUAAAAUCUUGUUCAAACGAAUUAAUACAGUACACUAACAAUUG